AACUAAGUUUGUUCUUGGUAUGAGCUUUCGUGUGCAUGCACACUUAUUCAGUAUCUCUGUGGGUAUCUGAAGAAGUGUGCAUGCACAUGAAAGCUCAUACCAAGAACAUACUUAGUUGG